CACUUCCAUUUAGAAUCCACACAUGUUAUUUUAUACCCCACCUUAUCCCCAGUUGUGAAAGCUACGGGCAUCACCAUGUUGCAUGAUCAGUCUAGAGAUAUACAACGAAAUGCCCAUUUGCUGUAGAAAUGAUCAGACACUAUAAGUUGCUAAAGACAGAAGCAAAACAUGGCUCCUGCUGCCUCUUGGGUGACACCAAGGACCAGAAUUCAAACAUGGUUUGAGAGCUGGGGACUGUCACGGGACGGCAAGCACUUCUUCGACCCAUCCUGAAUCAGCAUCGGCAAAUCUGUGCGAUGCAGACACUGCGAUUGCACACCCAUGUGCUGCAGAAGAUGCAUAUCUUGCAGAGUCCAUGCAUGGGCUUGUCAUCCCUUGGGUGUCCAGUUCGAGGGACCCCACAUGACGCCGAUGAACGCCGCUGGAAGCAAACCACCAUGACAAGUUUCAGUUUCAGAUGUAGUUACAAUCAGCGUUGGAGGAAGUGGUGUAGACGACGCGAUCAAGCUGGCUCUGCAGAUUCCACUGCCGGUGGAACUCGUUGCGGCGAAACUGUUUCGUGAACUGGCAAGCUCUCAGAAAAUCCGUGUGCUUGGGAUCCAGUUUGCAGGCCAGCAUUUCACUUGUGACCGAGACACUGUUUCGAGGAAACCGAGGUGCUCGAAGCGCUGCGAGACAAGUCCGCGGCUUGGAAUGAACUCAACUUUGUUUAUCCUCAGUCUUUGUAGAGGAUCCUCUUGCAGAAUUCUCGAUAGGUGUUGGCUCGUGUCAUGUGCAUAAUACAUGAUCUUUAAGUGCUUCCUCCCAUGCUUAAACAGUUCGUUGAUUGCUGGGUUGUACCUUGCAUGUGUUUGGUAUUCUAAAUCUAUAAAAGGUGCAAGCACAGCCAGAUGUGCAAAUUGGUGCAGAUAUGCUCCAAGAGCAACUGAUAUAUGUCUUGAUGUCCCAUUUCCAAUCUAUCAGCUCGACGUGGUCAUCUUCAAGCACGAGCUAAAGCUGGACUGUACCCAUGUGGUCACUUUAGCAGCUCCCACACCUUAUUGUGACAGACUAGACACAAUGCAUAAUCCACACAAAAGCUUGUCUGCUCAGUCAAACACGCUAAUGAAAUAACUUAUUUGCCACAAGGAAAUUUGCUAGAGUGACGUUGAAGCUUGGAAUGCCGAGGUAAUGUGGGGCCACUGCUCUAACUUGAUGACGUCAUUUGAGAAUAAUCAUGUCAUGGUGGUUAUUAACUUCAAUCUUCAAUAUAUUUGUCGGAGACCUGUUUAACGGUUAUAUGUGAGGAUCUCCCACAAAGGUUCAUCUCAUUACACUGAUCUUUCCCGGAGUUCUUGUUCGCUGUGUCUUCCUUCAUCCGUCUCGGUGGGGUUCAGUAGGGCGAGGCGUCAUCCGCAGCAGCCGACUCCUUUCGAACAGUUUACACAGAGCACGGCCAUUCGGUCGCUUGCAGUCGUGACCAUACUUCCGUUUGCAGUUACAUCUGCUGCCACAACUACCGACACUUUCAAGAAUGGCGGAGGCGAGAUCCGGCGCAGAUACUUUGUCGGUAGUCCGAGCACAAGUUCUCAGGAUUGACACAGCACCUCCUCACGCACCAUGACCAAUCACUAUAGAUGGUGAUCUCCAGAUUUCGUCAUGGGGACGCAUUCUCCGCUCAUCACACCCGAGACCAAUGCUAAACCUGGCAUUCAAUAUUCUACGGCAUGUGACCUAAAUGACUAAAAACGACGAAACAGUUACUCUGCUCUGCGGCGGCGGCACACUAAGCACCAUAAGAAUGUAUUAUUGAAAGACAUAACUACCUGUAAUCCUGAGUUGUACACCUUGUUGUUCUUAUACUGUUAUUAACAGCCACCUGUGCUCACGGUGUUGAAUAUCUAAAUGUUCCAGGAACAGAUUUGGUUUAUAUAUUAUGUGCUAUUUCAUGCUACUGUGGAUCCAGCAAAUUGGACUGUGACCUGGUUCAAAUGAGCUGUUUGAACCAUUCCAUGUCUCUCAAGCUAUUAUACGCGUCACCAUAUUUGAGCUGGGGAGGCAGAUGUUAGUUCUCCAAGUGCAUUUGGGACUGAGCUAUAAAAGGACUUGGACUACAUUGAGUCUUUGCCUUGUCUACAUUGUUUCUAUCAAUCAGUUGUGACGGUGGUGAGUAUUUCCAAGUCUAUUCUAUGAAGGCCCUCAGUCAGCACCACUCUAUGCACGUAACUAGAUUAUAUCAGAAUUUUUAGGUGAAUUUGAAACUGAGUCUUGCUUGACCAGACUCAAAAAUAAGAAUAAUCCAUUCGCUGUAACUUUACCUUGCAUUUAAGAAUCUGAGCUGUGCAUGGACAGAAAUUUAAUUUUA